GAAAUGCGAUACGUAAUGUGAAUUGCAGAAUUCAGUGAAUCAUCGAAUCUUUGAACGCACCUUGCACUCUUUGGUAUUCCGAAGAGUACGCCUGUUCGAGUAUCUUGAAACUAUCAAACCAGCAGUUUUUGUUAGCUGCUGGAUUGGAUUUGGACUUUACCGUCUCCUUUAUUGGAACGGUUGGUCUUAAAAGCAUUAGCUGACCCUCGAUUUGUGGGAUUGGUUCUUACUCAACGUGAUAAUUAUCUAGAUCGUUGAGGACAUUUGCUUAACUGUGAAUGGCCAGCUCUACCUUGGAUCGCUUCUAAUCGUGCCUUUGUUGCACAAUAUAACUUUCAACUUUGAUCUCGAAUCAGGCGGGACUACCCGCUGAACUUAA
rnacentral:misc_RNA from 1 species